GAUUAACGCUGGCGGCAUGCCAAGUCAUGCAAGUCGAACGGAUUCUGCACUCAGUGGCGAACGGGUGAGUAACACGUGGGUUACCUGCCUCUAAGUUGGGGACAACAGUUGGAAACGACUCCUUAGAGAUGGGCCUGCGGCGUAUUAGCUAGUUGGUGGGGUAAUGGCCUACCAAGGCAACGAUGCGUAGCCGGACUGAGGGGUUGAUCGGCCACAUUGGGACUGAGACACGGCCCAGACUCUACGGGAGACAGCAGUUAGGAAUAUUCGGCAAUGGGGGAAACCCUGACCGAGCAAUGCCGCGUGUGAGAUGAAGGUCCUCUGAUUGUAAAUCACUUUUAUUUGGGAAGCGGUACCUUUUGAAUAAGCCCCGGCUAACUACGUGCCAGCAGCCGCGGUAAUACGUAGGGGGCGAGCGUUAUCCGGAUUUAUUGGGCGUAAAGCGUGCGUAGGCGGUUUAUUAAGUCCAGAAUUAAAGUCCGAGGCUUAACCUCGGUUCGUUCUGGAUACUGGUAGACUAGAGUAUGGUAGAGGCAAACGGAAUUCCUAGUGUAGCGGUGAAAUGCGUAGAUAUUAGGAGGAACACCAGUGGCGAAGGCGGUUUGCUGGGCCAUCACUGACGCUGAGGUACGAAAGCGUGGGUAGCAAAUAGGAUUAGAUACCCUAGUAGUCCACGCUGUAA
rnacentral:rRNA from 1 species